UUUGCGCAUGCGGUUGUGACGUCAGCGCGGCAGGUGCAAAGAGCUCAUUGUGUUAUCGAGUAACGUUAGGGCUUUUCAGUUUGAACCGGAGCGCGUUGGUCAGAAGAGGAUCUCACCGAGGUCCAGAGGGAAUGCUGGUCGGAAUCCUUCUCAUUUUAGAAGACGCUAAAUGCCACGAACUGCAGUUCAACUGCCAAGCAGAGGAGACCACAUAGAAUCCAAGGAAGGGAAGGUCCAUUACCAUCCACCUGGAGAGCAAACCUUAGAGAGGUCAAGACAGAGAGGUUCCCUCCCAAGCUUAGCUUAGUGCCUGCAGCCGAGCCAACGCAACCACAGGACCGAUAGGCCGCCCGACAGCAACGCGCCACACCAGAACACAGUUGGAUCUAAGGCUCCAUUAAGAAAUAUGAUACAAAGGGAUCUUGCCUGCAAAAUUAAGGACAUUAUAGAAGUA